rnacentral:rRNA from 1 species
UGACGCAGACCCGAAACCAAGUGACCUACCCAUGACCAGGUUGAAGGCGCGGUAAAACGCGCUGGAGGACCGAACCCACGUAAGUUGAAAAUUGCGGGGAUGAGUUGUGGGUAGCGGUGAAAUUCCAAACGAACUUGGAGAUAGCUGGUUCUCUCCGAAAUAGCUUUAGGGCUAGCCUCGCAAAGAGGAUGCUGGAGGUAGAGCUCUGUUUGGACUAGGGGCCCGUCAAGGGUUACUGAAUUCAGAUAAACUGCGAAUUCCAGACAUUUAUGUGCGGGAGUCAGACUGCGAGUGAUAAGAUCCGUAGUCGAAAGGGAAACAGCCCAGAUCACCAGUUAAGGUCCCAAAAUUCAUGCUAAGUGGAAAAGGAUGUGGAGUUGCGCAGACAACUAGGACGUUGGCUCAGAAGCAGCCAUCAUUCAAAGAGUGCGUAAUAGCUCACUAGUCGAGUGACGCCGCGCCGAAAAUUUACCGGGGCUAAGCAUGAUACCGAAACUGUGGAUGUGCGUUUAUGCACGUGGUAGGAGAGCGUUCUAGCGGCGGUGAAGCAUGACCGAGAGGACAUGUGGAGCUUCUAGAAGUGAGAAUGCCGGUAUGAGUAACGAAAGACAGGUGAGAAUCCUGUCCGCCGCAAGACUAAGGUUUCCUGGGGCAGGCUCGUCCGCCCAGGGUAAGUCGGGACCUAAGGCGAGGCCGAGAGGCGUAGUCGAUGGACAACAGGUUGAAAUUCCUGUACUGCACCGAAUCGUUAUGAGCGAUGGAGGGACGCAGGAGGCUAGCAGCGCGUGGUGCUGGAUACCACGUUCAAGCGUCAAGUCUGAGAGUGAGUCAAAUGCUUGCUCUCAUAAGGACAAGGCGUGAUGAGGAGCGAAAUUAAAGUAGCGAAGGCUGCGACGUCACACUGCCGAGAAAAGCUUCUAGCCAGAGACGGUGCACCCGUACCGCAAACCGACACAGGUAGUCGAGGAGAGUAUCCUCAGGUGAGCGAGAGAACUCUCGUUAAGGAACUCGGCAAAAUGGCCCCGUAACUUCGGGAGAAGGGGCGCUGGUCGCAAGAUCAGCCGCAGUGAAAAGGCCCAAGCAACUGUUUAUCAAAAACACAGGCAUCUGCAAAAUCGUAAGAUGAAGUAUAGGUGCUGACACCUGCCCGGUGCUGGAAGGUUAAGAGGAGAGCUUAGCGCAAGCGAAGGUUUGAAUUGAAGCCCCAGUAAACGGCGGCCGUAACUAUAACGGUCCUAAGGUAGCGAAAUUCCUUGUCGGGUAAGUUCCGACCUGCACGAAAGGUGUAAUGAUUUGGGCACUGUCUCAACGAGAGACUCGGUGAAAUUAUAAUACCCGUGAAGAUGCGGGUUACCCGCGACAGGACGGAAAGACCCCAUGGAGCUUUACUGCAGUUUAAUAUUGGGUAUCUGUCAAGCAUGUACAGGAUAGGUAGGAGCCGGAGAAGAUAGGACGCCAGUCUUAUCAGAGGCGCUGUUGGGAUACUACCCUUGCUUGACGGAUGCUCUAACUCAGGCCUGUGAUCCAGG